CGGUGCUCUCAGUAGCUUCCGGGAAACCAAAAUCGGGUUCCGGGGGAAGUAUGGUUGCAAAGUUGAAACUUAAAGGAAUUGACGGAAGGGCACCACUCACGAGUGGAGCUUGCGGCUUAAUUUGACUCAACACGGGAAAUUUACCAGGUCCGAACUUAUCGAGGUAAGACAGAUUAAGAGCUCUUUCUCAAACUUAAGGGUAGUGGUGCAUGGCCGUUCUUAGUUCGUGGAAUGAUUUGUCUGGUUAAUUCCGAUAACGAACGCGACUCAAACAAGCUAACUAGAACGCUGUCAGCAGUGUGCCUCCGGGCACACCUGACGUUACGGGGCGGCG